rnacentral:rRNA from 1 species
CUGGGGGAUGGCUCGGCUAGAGAGCCGAAGAAGGUCGUGACAAGCUGCGAAAAGUCGCGGGGAGAGGCAUGAAUCUCUUGGAUCCGCGAAUUGCCGAAUGGGACCUCCUGGCGCUAUGCGCCAUUCCUCAACAGGAAAGGGAACCCCCCGAACUGAAGCAUCUCAGUAGGGGGAGGAAAAGAAAUCAAACGAGAUUCCGUAAGUAGUGGCGAAUGAAAACGGAAUCGGACAAACCGAAUCUCCUUGGGAAACCUUGGAGAGAUGUGGGGUAUGGACUGUCUCAGCCUAAAUCAUGGAAGUGGAAAUCGCCUGGAANGGCGUGCCAUAGAGGGUGAAAGCCCCGUACAUGCAAAUGAUAUGGCUUUGUGACAGAUUCCUGAGUAGCGUGCGUUGGAUAUCGCUCGUGAAUAUGGGGGGCAGAAACCUCCAAUCCUAAAUACUACUCUAGACCGAUAGUUGACAAGUAGAGUGAUCGAAAGCUGAAAAGUAUCCUUGGCGGGAUGUGAAAAGAACCUGAAACCAGUCGGGAACAGGCUGAAUAUGCGUGAAAGCGAAGAUAUGAGCAGCGUGUAUUCGUGCGUUUCGAAAAAUGCCCCUGGGAGUUCUGAUCAUUGGCGAGGUUAAGCAGUUGAUCUGCGAAGCCGUAGGGAAACCGACAAGUCCGCAGCCGCUUUAGCGGUCAGGGACGGGAUGUGCUCGUCCGAAGUCAAUGGUGGGAGACCUGAAGCCCGUCGAUCUAUUCCUGGCCAGAUUGAAGCCCGGUGAAAGCUGGGUGGAGGAUCGAACCGUUGCUGAUCUGCAAAUCGCUCGGACGAGCUGGGUAUAGGGGUGAAAGUCCAAUCGAGAUGGGCAAUAGCAGGUUCCGCGCGAGACUACNCGNAGGUAGAUCUCCGUUGAGGUAGAUAAUGAUGUAGAGCACUGAUUGGGUAUUUAGGGGGAGCAAUCCCUCGGUACGCUGUCAAACUCCGAAGUUGUUAUCGCCGUAGAAGCGGGGAGUGAGCCACGGUGGGUAAGCUACCGUGACGAAAGGUGAAUAAACCAGCUCAGUGUUAAGGUCCCAAAGUACCAGUUAAGUGUUAAUCAGAAACGGCGUCCGUGGUCGAAGACAACCAGAAGGUGGGCUUAGAAGCAGCCAUCCUUGAAAGAGUUCGUAACAGAUCACUGGUCAAGCUUGCGGGCCCGGAAA